AUUCAUCCUUAUGUGAUUGGAAAUGUUAAGGUUGAUGUGCGUUCAACCGAAAAGUACUAUUCAACUAAAUGGAGUUGAAAUUUUCCAUAAUAAUGCCACCGGUGAUCUUGGUCAGAUUUAAGGCAGAAGAUGCUUCUAAAUGAAGAUUUUGGUUUGUGAAUAAGAUGUUGUGCAUUGGACUCAAUUUAAG